rnacentral:ncRNA from 1 species
CCCGGUUCGCCGGGACGACAUGUGGUCGACUCCUUCGACUGAAUCGCAAG